UGCUUGUACGGCGAGUGAGCGGCAAAAGCUCAAAUUUGAAAUCUGGUACCUUCGGUGCCCGAGUUGUAAUUUGGAGAGGGCAACUUUGGGGCCGUUCCUUGUCUAUGUUCCUUGGAACAGGACGUCAUAGAGGGUGAGAAUCCCGUGUGGCGAGGAGUGCGGUUCUUUGUAAAGUGCCUUCGAAGAGUCGAGUUGUUUGGGAAUGCAGCUCUAAGUGGGUGGUAAAUUCCAUCUAAAGCUAAAUAUUGGCGAGAGACCGAUAGCGAACAAGUACAGUGAUGGAAAGAUGAAAAGAACUUUGAAAAGAGAGUGAAAAAGUACGUGAAAUUGUUGAAAGGGAAGGGCAUUUGAUCAGACAUGGUGUUUUGUGCCCUCUGCUCCUUGUGGGUAGGGGAAUCUCGCAUUUCACUGGGCCAGCAUCAGUUUUGGUGGCAGGAUAAAUCCAUAGGAAUGUAGCUUGCCUCGGUAAGUAUUAUAGCCUGUGGGAAUACUGCCAGCUGGGACUGAGGACUGCGACGUAAGUCAAGGAUGCUGGCAUAAUGGUUAUAUGCCGCUCGUCUUGAACAACGGACCCA
rnacentral:rRNA from 1 species